AUUAUCGUAUAGAUAUUGAAAACCGAGUGUUCGUGAUUUUCUGAAAAUAUGGCGAUGAUCAUUGCAUAACCCAGAACGUCUCAUGUAUUCGUGUAGAGUAAAGAUUUAACCAUUCUACCUAAACAUAAUAACAAGAACAAUGUCUGGACCUUAUAGUCUACACGAUGGUAUUCAAAUUUAAUGUUGACGCAGACGCGCCUAUAGAUUGUAAGUUUCGGAUCACGUUAGACAAAAACAAAACGAUUGCUGCGUGCGGCAAUGCCGUAUUAAAUUAAUUGUUUGUAUUGAAUUCAGUAAACGUAAAAACAAUUAAGUUAAUUAAAUAAAAACAAAAUCAAAGGUCAACAAUGAAAAUUAAUUUUGAUCAAUUAUUAAUUAUUAAUUUGUAC